rnacentral:rRNA from 1 species
AUUGAACGCUGGCGGCAGGCCUAACACAUGCAAGUCGACCGAGUAGCGGACGGGUGAGUAAUGUCUGAGAAACUGCCCGAUGGAGGGAGAUAACUACUGGAAACGGUAGAUAAUACCGCAUACCAUCAGAUGUGCCCAGAUGGGAUUAGCUGGUAGGUGGGGAAACGGCGCACCUAGGCGACGAUCCCUAGCUGGUCUGAGAGGAUGACCAGUCACACUGGAACUACGACACGGUCCAGACUCCUCCGGGAGGCAGCAGUGGGGAAUAUUGCACAAUGGGCGCAAGCCUGAUGCCGCCAUGCCGCGUGUGUGAAGAAGGCCUUCGGGUGGUAAAGCACUUUCAGCGGGGAGGCGUUACCCGCAGAAGAAGCACCGGCUAACUCCGUGCCAGCAGCCGCGGUAAUUC